UCGGACAUGGUGUAGGGUACACCGCCUCUCAUCUUAUAUAUCGGCUGAUUAUCGUUAUCGGAGGCAGUCCGGGGUUCGACUCCCCGUGUCCGAU